rnacentral:rRNA from 1 species
AUUGAACGCUGGCGGCAGGCCUAACACAUGCAAGUCGAACGAGUGGCGGACGGGUGAGUAAUGUCUGGGAAACUGCCCGAUGGAGGGGGAUAACUACUGGAAACGGUAGCUAAUACCGCAUACCAUCGGAUGUGCCCAGAGGGGAUUAGCUAGUAGGUGGGGUAACGGCUCACCUAGGCUACGAUCCCUAGCUGGUCUGAGAGGAUGACCAGCCACACUGGAACUGAGACACGGUCCAGACUCCUACGGGAGGCAGCAGUGGGGAAUAUUGCACAAUGGGCGAAAGCCUGAUGCAGCCAUGCCGCGUGGAUGAAGAAGGCCUUCGGGUUGUAAAGUACUUUCCGCGAGGAGGCGGUACUCGAAGAAGAAGCACCGGCUAACUCCGUGCCAGCAGCCGCGGUAAUAC